rnacentral:ncRNA from 1 species
UGCUCAUCAUGAGGGGCGGAGGGACUGGCCCGACGAAGCCCGGCAACCCCCACCGAUUUAUGAUUAGCGAUUUUGGAUUUACGAUCAGGCUCUUUGCAGCCAAUCGUCAAUCGCCAAUCGUCAAUCGUAAAUGGCGGGAAGGUGCCAAUUCCUGCAGGCGCAUUGUGCGCCUGAGAGAUGAGAG